UUUAUGGAGAGUUUGAUCCUGGCUCAGGAUGAACACUGGCGGCGUGCCUAAUACAUGCAAGUCGAGCGAACAGAUGAGGAGCUUGCUCCUUUGACGUUAGCGGCGGACGGGUGAGUAACACGUGGGUAACCUA
rnacentral:rRNA from 1 species